UACGUAGGGGGCAAGCGCUAUCCGGAUUCACUGGGUGUAAAGGGAGCGUAGACGGCCAUGCAAGCCUGGAGUGAAAGCCCGGGGCCCAACCCCGGGACUGCUCUGGGAACUGUGCGGCUGGAGUGCGGGAGGGGCAGGCGGAAUUCCUGGUGUAGCGGUGAAAUGCGUAGAUAUCAGGAGGAACACCGGCGGCGAAGGCGGCCUGCUGGACCGCGACUGACGUUGAGGCUCGAAAGCGUGGGGAGCAAACAGG
rnacentral:rRNA from 1 species